GUUGACCUCGGAUCAGGUAGGAAUACCCGCUGAACUUAAGCAUAUCAAUAAGCGGAGGAAAAGAAACCAACAGGGAUUGCCUCAGUAACGGCGAGUGAAGCGGCAACAGCUCAAAUUUGAAAUCUGGCCCUCGGGUCCGAGUUGUAAUUUGUAGAGGAUGUUUCGGGCACCGUCGCGGUGUAAAUUUCUUGGAACAGAAUGUCAUAGAGGGUGAGAUCCCCGUCUGCCACCGCGAUAGGACCCAUGUGAAACUCCUUCGACGAGUCGAGUUGUUUGGGAAUGCAGCUCAAAAUGGGUGGUAAAUUUCAUCUAAAGCUAAAUAUUGGCCAGAGACCGAUAGCGCACAAGUAGAGUGAUCGAAAGAUGAAAAGCACUUUGAAAAGAGAGUUAAACAGUAUGUGAAAUUGUUGAAAGGGAAGCGCAGGCAAUCAGACUCGAGCGCGGAGUUCCCCCUGGCUUCUGCCAGGGUCACUUCUCCGUGACCGGGCCAACAUCAGUUUGAGGGGCCGGUUAAAGGCCCUGGGAAUGUAUCCAUCCCUUCGGGGUUGGACUUAUAGCUCAGGGUGUCAUGCGGCCUCCUCGGACUGAGGAACGCGCUUCGGCGAGGAUGUUGGCGUAAUGGUUGUCUGCGACCCGUCUUGAAACACGGACCAAGGAGUCUAACAUCUAUGCGAGUGUUAGGGUGUCAAACCCUGGCGCGGAAUGAAAGUGAACGGAGGUAGGAAGCCUUAAGGCUGCACUAUCGACCGAUCCUGAUGUCUUCGGAUGGAUUUGAGUAAGAGCAUAGCUGUUGGGACCCGAAAGAUGGUGAACUAUGCGUGAAUAGGGUGAAGCCAGAGGAAACUCUGGUGGAGGCUCGCAGCGGUUCUGACGUGCAAAUCGAUCGUCAAAUUUGCGUAUAGGGGCGAAAGACUAAUCGAACCAUCUGGUAGCUGGUUCCUGC
rnacentral:rRNA from 1 species